UGGCUAACCGUGGCUAACAAACCACUCUGAUGGGCGACACAGAUAAACAGAGUCAGGAAGAGAUGGAGGAUGACGGCUGUGUGACAACAGCCUCCAGCAGCACUGCACCCACCACCAGUGCCACGCCAGUGAGCUCUACACCCAGAUCCAACACUCCCACAGGCACUCAGCCCAGCGGCAUUCCUCUGGGAAACAUCACUUCAGACAGGCAGGCGGUCCAGGUAAUCCAGCAGACACUACACAGACCACAGAGCAUGACAGCUCAGUACCUACAAUAGAUGUAUGCGGCCCAACAACAGCAUAUCCUGCUGCAGACGGCUGCACUACAACAGCAGCAUCAACAGAACCUCACGGCUACACAAAUCCUGACCACUACAGAGCAGGCCACACAGACUAAUGGCAGGCAGCCCACCUCCUCCCCUCCAUCAUCCAAUGGGAAUGUAACUCAGCUGGCUAGUAUGUCUCAAACAUCAGUAAGUGCUUUUGUUCUUUAUACACUUUUGUCACAAACCCACUUUUGUUUCACAAAGAUGAACUAUGUGCUCUCAUUUGGACACUAUGUUGGAAUAUUAGCAAAUAGUUUCAGGCUUUAUCCAAACAUUUAAAGGGAUACUACAAUUCUGUCAUCAUUUACUCACCCUCAUGAUGUUCCAAACAUGUGUGAGUUCCUCUCUUCCGUUGAACUCAAAAAAUAUAUUUUGGAAAAUGUUGGUCACCAAACAGUUGAUGGAAACCAUUGACUUCCACAGUAUUUCCUUUUUUCCAUAGUGUGAGAGUCAAUGACUACCAUCAACGGUUUGGUUAUUAAUACUUUUGAAAUAUAUUUAUUUUUGUAUUCAACAGAAAAAAAUUAAUUCAUACAGGUUUAGAAUGACUUGGGUAAAUGAUGACAGAAUUUUCAUUUUUAGUUGAAAUAGCCCCUUAAGAUUUGAUCAAAGAUGAAUUACACAGGAAAACACCUCUCACCCUCUAGAUCAGUGGUUUUCAAACCCUCCAUGAUGUACCCCCAGUACUGCACAUUUUGUAUGUCUCCCUAUAUCUGACACACCCACUUCAGGUCUUGCAGUCUCCACUAAUGAGCUGAUGAGUUGAAUCAGGUGUGAUAGAUGAGGGAGACAUACAGAAUGUGCAGGGCUGGGGGUACUCCAGGACAGGUUUGAGAACCACUGCUCUAGAUCACCAUGCCAACCUCUCCUGUAACUUCCUGUGUCUUCUUUCUUCCUAUUGUCGUGUCAUUGUCUCUUAACCUGUAGCUGAUUCUUACUCCUGCUGCCACUGUAGCUGCUGUUCAACCUGAUCUGACGGUCGUAAGUUCAGUGUCCUCUCAAUCAGCAUCAUCACAGGUAAGACAGAGUUUUUUUAGUCAAUUUAUGGGACUUUUUUUAAGAAAUGGUGCCAUUUGGGGUCAUAUUUAUUUACGCAUUUAAUUAUCAGAAUCAGAAUCAGAAAGAGCUUUAUUGCCAAGUAUGCUUACGCAUACACGGAAUUUGUUUUAGUGACAUAAGCUUCCAGUACACAGAGACAACAACAAAAAACAAAAAAACAAAAAACAAAUUGCAAAUAAAUAAAUUGUAUGAACAGUUGUGCUAUAGAUG
ensembl:lncRNA